GAUGAACGCUGGCGGCGUGCCUAAUACAUGCAAGUCGAGCGAACGGACGAGAAGCUUGCUUCUCUGAUGUUAGCGGCGGACGGGUGAGUAACACGUGGAUAACCUACCUAUAAGACUGGGAUAACUUCGGGAAACCGGAGCUAAUACCGGAUAAUAUUUUGAACCGCAUGGUUCAAAAGUUAAAGACGGUCUUGCUGUCACUUAUAGAUGGAUCCGCGCUGCAUUAGCUAGUUGGUAAGGUAACGGCUUACCAAGGCAACGAUGCAUAGCCGACCUGAGAGGGUGAUCGGCCACACUGGAACUGAGACACGGUCCAGACUCCUACGGGAGGCAGCAGUAGGGAAUCUUCCGCAAUGGGCGAAAGCCUGACGGAGCAACGCCGCGUGAGUGAUGAAGGUCUUCGGAUCGUAAAACUCUGUUAUUAGGGAAGAACAUAUGUGUAAGUAACUGUGCACAUCUUUACGGUACCUAAUCAGAAAGCCACGGCUAACUACGUG
rnacentral:rRNA from 1 species